GAAUUAAAAAAUAGGACAGGGCCAGGCAGCAGUCAGCCUCUGUGAAGAUGGCAAACAUUCAGCUCUUCAGGAAUGUCCAUCCUGGUUCCUUGGCUAAACUGCUGCAAAGCCCCCAGCAUAGGGCAGUGAUGGGGAGCAGGGAGCCAGCACCAGGCUGACAGCCUGUCUGUGUCCGGGUUGCUGGGCUGAAGUUUGGCUGGGUAAACAGGGCAAGGGAAACCAGAGGUGAUGUCAGAAGCUGCCAGCCACAGCAGAGAGCAGUGUGAAAGCACCACGAGGGACAGCUGGAUCUCACACCUUGGUUAAAGUGUAAGAAAGACUAGUCUCCUGACUUGAAGAGCUUGUUGGAUUCCUCUUUUCUGAGAGAAGCAGAAGAUGAAAAGGUGUCUUUAAAAAUCAAGCCACUGGGAUAUCAGUAGCUUCCAGGUAAAUGUGGGGAAGUGCAGGACAUCAGAAUACCAGGAAUCUCAUGGGUAAGUAUUGAUAUUUGAAGCUUUCCAAGUGAAUGAUUAAACAGAUUUGCCUAACAUUGCUGUGACUCAUGGGUUUCCUAGUAUCAAGCUGUCUGAGCCUGCUGGAAGGAUUCUCUCUACCGUAGGUGUAUUUGUUCUCCCUAGAAGAUUAUUAUGAGUAUCAGAAUGCUUUCUAGUUCAGGCUGGUCUUUUUAUUUUUGUAUCACUGCAGGAGAGAUUCGCAGGGAAUCACUCAAAUGCUUACUGAUAAGGCUUUUCCUCCAGACUGGAGCUUCCUCCACAAUCACCUUCCUUUAGUUGUACUGACCAAGAGAGUCUGUAUCAGGGCUUUGUACAGAGUUUUAUAGGCUUCCUAACUUAAAAAUGAAGGAUUUGGUUUGUUCUGGUUUUAAUACAUUAUAAGAGAGAUCUCUCUGCAAUCACAAUCACAGACAGCACCAUUUCAAAGAAUUUUCUGAGAUAGUGUGGGCAUAUUAAAAGACACCAACAUCAGCUGUUUCUACUUUUAUUGAAAGAGUGAGUCCCACAUGGGUAGAUGUAAACAAGCAAAAAGAAGCCUAUAUUUUUUUUUCAAAAGGGAGUGGGCACAGAUAUAAGUUACAAUCUCCAGGUGAGCCAAGCCAACUUACAAACAUUCUUCACAUUGCAUGUUCACUCAAUCAAUAUCUGUCUAUCUACAGUUUAUUCAGGCACUACAGUCACUCCUGCAUAUUAGCACGAGUGUUGAGGUGUAUCUCACAGCUCUUGCUGCCUAGGACUACUCUAUGGAUUGCUUUGAGGAGCACAGUGGCAGAACUUUUCUGUUCUGCUCCCAGCCUCCAUCUUCUUCACUCAUAAGUUAUUUAAUUGAGCUAUACCCUGCUCAGCACAUUCAACCUGUGUUAGCCAUAGCUCACUCACAGGUUGAAGUAGUCCAGCCUUCAUCUGUGCUCAUUACACUGAAAUUUAGAUUGGAAGCACAGGGACGGUGAUAACACCAUGCAGGACAGACGCAGAGGUAUCUGACAAGUACUGCUGCAAAUUUCCUGUGUGUGAUUAGCACAGACCUGCAACCCAUUACCCUAAGGUGCAGCAGUGCCUCCUGAAUUUUAGCAAGAGACAUGUAAUAGGUGAACUUCUCAUACAGUACCAAGAAAAGCAGGUUUUCUAGGGCUUGAGGGAAGAGCAGCUAAGGCAGAAACAGACGCCUAUUAUCAAUACUAAUUUCAGUGCAACCCCAGGCAAAGGAAGCCUUGAAAGAGGUCAUUUAUGGAGUCUGAAAGAAGGAACAAGUUUUCCAGGCAAGUGGGACAAGGCUGUUUUUCUAGAGGAAAGGGGUGUUUAUCUAAGAAAUGCAUCAAUAAUUAGGAGAGGUGAGUUACUGGAGUUGAUAACUCAGUCUUGCUUAAAAAUCUCACUCAUUAUUUUGAGCUUUUCACUGAUGAAAAAUCUUCUAGGACUUAAUCCCAAACUUGGGAGUUGAAUUAGGGCAGAGGAGCUUGCUCACAACAAAAGAGCGACAAGACUUGCUGCCUCUAGCCCCAAGUAGGCCAAGCAGAGCAUCACAGAGUUCCUUUCAUUGACACAGCCAUCAGGACAUUGGCUGUAGGCUGUGUGGUGCAACAUCAUAAGUAGUAUUACCGGUAUUUCAGUGGGUCACAGAUAAAGAGAUAAAGAUAAAAUACCUAGAAAUUACGUGCUUACUAUGUGCCACCAUUGACGGUUCUCCACCCAGGUUAAAAAGGCCCACAGUAAAUCAGUGAUGUUCUCCUUCUAGGGAGAAGGGGCAAGCUGGUCAGACAGGGCUUCCCACUGGCACAGGCACACCAACAAGACAACAUGAGAGGAUGCCCUCAUCUGGGAGUGGCCUUCUUAUAUUCACCUUGGAUCUAAGGUGGAAGAGGGUAAAAGACAUCACCCAAACCAGGAAAGUGGUCCCUAUCAGCCUCCCCCCAUCUCUUAUGCCUGCUCAGGACUGUAUUUUUUCUCCAUCUCUGGGCUGGGCCUGGCAUGGGACUGCAAGGUAAGAAGGUGCUUUCCCCAGGUAGCUGUCUUGCAUAGGACUCCAUCUUUCUUCAUACAUAACUGAUGCAAUGGGUGCUUUUGCUUAUCUCAUCCAUCACAUAAGACCUCAGGUUUGGAGGAACAGUAUUGUUCCAUCCUUAGCUGAAAUCAUCCCAGAUUUCUCCAAGUUAAACCUGUCCAGGUCUUUGGGUAGAAAAUCAAGACGACCCAGAAAAUACCUGCCCAAGGAAUGGUGUGGUGGUCCUGAAAGAUUAAUCCGUGCCACCUGGCUUUACCUGCUUUCAUACCAGAGAGCUUAGAGCCUGCCUUAAAGCAGUACUUAGCUUCCAUCUCAUACUCACUUUUCUGCAAGCAAACUGGGGUUCAGAACACAAGAGCAACCUUGGCUAAAUCCUAGAGAAAAUCUCACUCUGCAUCUCCAGAAGAGAGCUUAUUGUAUACAGAAAAAAAAAAAAAAAAAAGCAAAUAAGAGAAGGCUAUAGAGAAUUUUAUCUUACGAAGGAGGAUCUAGGUAUUUUAUCAGCAUUCUUUCAAGUCUGAAUUUUAUUGGGAAAAAUGUUAACUGAGCUAGUUAGUACCUGUAAAGUGACAAAUCAACCCAGCUGGGUCUUCCUCAUGUAAACCUUCAUCUGUGUGCUCAUAUUGUCUCCUUUCCAUGCUCUUUGUAGCUCAGACCUCCUAGUUCUCAGAAGAAUUGUGCUUUAAAUACCCACAGUGGCAGAAGCUACCUUAUGUCACCCCAUCUGUGAAAAUAGGCAAGCAGAGCAUUUGUUUUUUUCCUAAUUAACUAAAAAGGGAUUGACUAAAAGGAAUAUUUCACUCUCAGAUUUUAAAAAUAUCAUUCACAAAGGCCAAGUAGAUGUACUGAGAGGAAUAACUGCAAUUACAGCAGCCAAGUAAUAAGCACAAGCAAU